rnacentral:rRNA from 1 species
UACGAAGGGGGCUAGCGUUGCUCGGAAUUACUGGGCGUAAAGGGCGCGUAGGCGGACGUUUAAGUCGGGGGUGAAAGCCCGGGGCUCAACCUCGGAAUUGCCUUCGAUACUGGACGUCUUGAGUACGGGAGAGGUGAGUGGAACUCCGAGUGUAGAGGUGAAAUUCGUAGAUAUUCGGAAGAACACCAGUGGCGAAGGCGACUCACUGGCCCGUUACUGACGCUGAGGCGCGAAAGCGUGGGGAGCAAACAGG